GAUGAACGCUAGCUACAGGCUUAACACAUGCAAGUCGAGGGGCAGCAUGAACUUAGCUUGCUAAGUUUGAUGGCGACCGGCGCACGGGUGAGUAACACGUAUCCAACCUGCCGAUGACUCGGGGAUAGCCUUUCGAAAGAAAGAUUAAUACCCGAUGGCAUAGUUCUUCCGCAUGGUAGAACUAUUAAAGAACUUCGGUCAUCGAUGGGGAUGCGUUCCAUUAGGUUGUUGGCGGGGUAACGGCCCACCAAGCCUUCGAUGGAUAGGGGUUCUGAGAGGAAGGCCCCCCACAUUGGAACUGAGACACGGUCCAAACUCCUACGGGAGGCAGCAGUGAGGAAUAUUGGUCAAUGGACGAGAGUCUGAACCAGCCAAGUAGCGUGAAGGAUGACUGCCCUAUGGGUUGUAAACUUCUUUUAUACGGGAAUAAAGUGAGGCACGUGUGCCUUUUUGUAUGUACCGUAUGAAUAAGGAUCGGCUAACUCCGUGCCAGCAGCCGCGGUAAUACGGAGGAUCCGAGCGUUAUCCGGAUUUAUUGGGUUUAAAGGGAGCGUAGGCGGACGCUUAAGUCAGUUGUGAAAGUUUGCGGCUCAACCGUAAAAUUGCAGUUGAUACUGGGUGUCUUGAGUACAGUAGAGGCAGGCGGAAUUCGUGGUGUAGCGGUGAAAUGCUUAGAUAUCACGAAGAACUCCGAUUGCGAAGGCAGCCUGCUGGACUGUAACUGACGCUGAUGCUCGAAAGUGUGGGUAUCAAACAGGAUUAGAUACCCUGGUAGUCCACACAGUAAACGAUGAAUACUCGCUGUUUGCGAUAUACAGUAAGCGGCCAAGCGAAAGCGUUAAGUAUUCCACCUGGGGAGUACGAAUUGACGGGGGCCCGCACAAGCGGAGGAACAUGUGGUUUAAUUCGAUGAUACGCGAGGAACCUUACCCGGGCUUGAAUUGCAACUGAAUGAUGUGGAGACAUGUCAGCCGCAAGGCAGUUGUGAAGGUGCUGCAUGGUUGUCGUCAGCUCGUGCCGUGAGGUGUCGGCUUAAGUGCCAUAACGAGCGCAACCCUUAUCGAUAGUUACCAUCAGGUUAUGCUGGGGACUCUGUCGAGACUGCCGUCGUAAGAUGUGAGGAAGGUGGGGAUGACGUCAAAUCAGCACGGCCCUUACGUCCGGGGCUACACACGUGUUACAAUGGGGGGUACAGAAGGCAGCUACACGGCGACGUGAUGCUAAUCCCGAAAGCCUCUCUCAGUUCGGAUUGGAGUCUGCAACCCGACUCCAUGAAGCUGGAUUCGCUAGUAAUCGCGCAUCAGCCACGGCGCGGUGAAUACGUUCCCGGGCCUUGUACACACCGCCCGUCAAGCCAUGAAAGCCGGGGGUACCUGAAGUGCGUAACCGCAAGGAGCGCCCUAGGGUAAAACUGGUGAUUGGGGCU
rnacentral:rRNA from 1 species